rnacentral:rRNA from 1 species
AUGUGCGUACCUAAAAACCAAGGACGGAUGUGAUUUCGUGAUAUUCACUCUUUCAAUCUAGCACUGCUCGCCAUACAGGCAAUGCGCUUUCUGGAUAAUCCUGAUUCUUUGUGUGCCACAAUUCUAAGGGAUAAAUACUAUCCUGAUGGCGAUUUGUUAAAUUCUAAGCAAAAGAAAGGCUCUUCUUCUACCUGGCAAAGUAUUAUGGCUGGCAUAAAUUCUCUGAAACGUGGCUAUAUUUGGCGUGUGGGGAAUGGACAAAAUAUAAAUAUUUGGGAAGAUGCCUGGAUUCCAAAUUGUGAUACUAGAAAAGUUGUGACACCUAAGGGGGGACAACUGUUAACUAAGGUGGAUGAUUUGAUUGAUCUUGUUUCAAAUUCUUGGGACGAAGAUCUGAUUACACAGACAAUGUGGCCCAUUGAUGUUCAACGGAUUCUGUCAAUUCCAAUCUCGCAACAUGAUAUGCCAUAUUUCAUUGCUUGGAGUUAUACGAAAAAUGGUAUGUUCUCGGUUCGGUCUGCUUAUUUUGUGGAGUGUAACCAUCAGUAUGGAAGUAGACAACGACAUUCUAACGGGAUGGGGUGA